AUUGAACGCUGGCGGCAUGCCUUACACAUGCAAGUCGAACGGUAACAGGUCUUCGGAUGCUGACGAGUGGCGAACGGGUGAGUAAUACAUCGGAACGUGCCCGAUCGUGGGGGAUAACGAGGCGAAAGCUUUGCUAAUACCGCAUACGAUCUACGGAUGAAAGCGGGGGAUCUUCGGGCCUCGCGCGGACGGAGCGGCCGAUGGCAGAUUAGGUAGUUGGUGGGAUAAAAGCUUACCAAGCCGACGAUCUGUAGCUGGUCUGAGAGGAUGAUCAGCCACACUGGGACUGAGACACGGCCCAGACUCCUACGGGAGGCAGCAGUGGGGAAUUUUGGACAAUGGGCGAAAGCCUGAUCCAGCCAUGCCGCGUGCAGGAUGAAGGCCUUCGGGUUGUAAACUGCUUUUGUACGGAACGAAAAGCCUCUUUCUAAUAAAGAGGGGUCAUGACGGUACCGUAAGAAUAAGCACCGGCUAACUACGUG
rnacentral:rRNA from 1 species